AGACAUUUGGCCUAGUGGUUAGGGCGUGUUAGGAUUGAGGAUUACGAGAUUAGGGGUUCAAUUCCCUUAGUGUUCA